GACGUAGGGAGCGAGCGUUGUCCGGAUUCAUUGGGCGUAAAGAGCGCGCAGGCGGUUUGGUAAGUCGGAUGUGAAAACCCGGGGCUCAACCCCGGGCGUGCAUCUCGAUACUGCCCGACUAGAGGUAGGUAGGGGAGAUCGGAAUUCCUGGUGUAGCGGUGAAAUGCGCAGAUAUCAGGAGGAACACCGGUGGCGAAGGCGGCGUUCUGGACUGCAACUGACACUGAAAAACGAAAGCCAGGGGAGCAAACGGG
rnacentral:rRNA from 1 species